rnacentral:rRNA from 1 species
UGCGUAGGUGGUUGUUUAAGUCUGUCGUGAAAGCCCUGGGCUCAACCUGGGAACUGCGAUGGAAACUGGGCGACUAGAGUGUGGUAGAGGGUAGCGGAAUUCCUGGUGUAGCAGUGAAAUGCGUAGAUAUCAGGAGGAACAUCCAUGGCGAAGGCAGCUACCUGGGCCAACACUGACACUGAGGCACGAAAGCGUGGGGGAGCAAACA